CACGUAGGGAGCAAGCGUUGUCCGGAUUUAUUGGGCGUAAAGAGCUCGUAGGUGGUUCGGUAAGUCAGGUGUGAAACCUCCAGGCUCAACCUGGAGACGCCACUUGAUACUGCUGUGACUGGAGUCCGGUAGGGGAGCGUGGAAUUCCUGGUGUAGCGGUGAAAUGCGUAGAGAUCAGGAAGAACAUCGGUGGCGAAGGCGCUCUGCUGGACCAUAACUGACACUCAGGGACGAAAGCUAGGGGAGCGAAUGGG
rnacentral:rRNA from 1 species